AAAACGUUAGCCCAUGUGCCAAGUUACAAACAGGUUAUAAACAGACUAAUCUUACACAAACCUUAACAUAAGAAAUUGAAUUUGGAGCAACUUGCGAUAUAAAUUUCAAGCUAAUCCCUUCUCAUUCUUACACAAGAAAAGAACAAAUAUAGCUACCAAGUUUCAUAAAUGCAGCUAGGGACGAAAGGAAACAAACAAAGCAGAACAUAA
rnacentral:misc_RNA from 1 species